rnacentral:lncRNA from 1 species
GGCUCUGCAUUGCUCCCCCUUGUGAGUAUUCAGAGGAUUUUGAAUCUGAGGAAAGUUUAGAUCUUCAGACAACUGGCUGUGAAGAGAAUGGUACUUUCCAGGAACUCCGGCAAAGCUUGGAGUUUGGCAAGAGCCAAAACAAGGUGAAAGGGGAAUGUUCCGAGGAUUCUGACUCCAUUGAGGAGGAGGUUCCCACUGAAGUCCCUGAGGAGAAAGAACCCACUGAAUGUCUGGGAGGGGCCGCUGAGCCGCUCCUUGCCAAAGCAGUGCUCUCCCCUCUGCCUGGCGCAGGCUCUGCUCCGGCCGCUGAGCCUCUUGUGUUGGAGUUCAAGCCAACCUGCCCAGGUGUUAAGAAGGAGCAAAGUCUCUCUGCAAAAAGGAAGGGCACUGCUGAAACCUACAUGCCCAUCAAGCCCAUGAGUCCGGCAGCUGCAGGUCGUUGGUACCUGGAAGAACAGGAAGGAAACGCCUCCAGUAAGAGAGAGUUUGUUUCUAAGUGCCUCCCUUAAGAGCUUGACAGGCAUACAGAAGCCACAGUGGUGAAAGGGCAGCAGAAAUGUGCCUGUCAUUUCUCUGAACAAGCCCAUGCUCAGAAUAAUUCUGGGUGUUGAC